rnacentral:lncRNA from 1 species
AAAAUAUGAACGGCGAUAAUAAAAAUGUAGAAAGAUUGCAAAGAAAAAGAAAGAAAAAUAGAACACACAGAUUUUACAUGGAAUGAAAAACCAUGGGUAAAUUCGAAUGAUUAUACAAGAGGAGUUUCAACCACAUCUAUUUAUAGGUUGAAAAAGCCCAAUUCUAAUCAAUGCAAAAUAUAUUAUACUACUAAAUCUUCUAGAAAGAAAAUAUAUUUUGUUUAACUUGACUUGCAAGAAAUCUCUUAGAAUUUGGGUCACA